UAGGUAGUUUCAUGUUGUUGGGAUUGAGUUUUGAACUCGGCAACAAGAAACUGCCUGAGU
rnacentral:pre_miRNA from 1 species